GAGAUAUACUAAGGAUGAAGAGAGAGAGACUGACUGCUCCCACUGAGUGGGUGGUACUGAUGAAAAGCAAGUAGACAAUAACCAUGUGGCUUAUCAGGAAUAAUCCACUGGAGAGACUGGAAAAGAGGCAUCUUCUGCAUCUGCCAGCAUGGCAUGCAUAUUGAAAUCCCAAUUCAGGAAUGAAAAUCUGAAACCAAGCUAUCUGCUUUUGUGUACUCUGGCACUGCAUCAUUUAAAAUAAUCCAAGAAUGAAAAUAUGAGCUAAGCUGUUUGCUUUUUUAAACAUUGAGCGUGUCAAUCCUGAAAUUCCACUGGACAAGCAUUUACUCUCCACAAAGUUUUUUAGGCUAUCUGGGUCUCUUCCAUUUUUCCCUGAAUUCUUGAAUCAGCUUGUCCGUUUCUGCAAAGAAAGAAAGAAAGAAAGAAAGAAAAGAAAAGAAAAAAGAAAAGAAAGCUGGAACUGCAUUGACUAUGUAGUUUUGCCCCAAAUUUGGGGAAUGUUGCCAUGUUAACAAUAUCAAGUCUUUCAGUCCUUGAACAUAG